UCUCACUUACAUACACAUUGAUUGUUUGGCAGAAUUAUCUCAUAUGCGAUUUUGUUGUUUACUUUCAGGUAUGUUGCUGCCUAGCAGUAUUAUUCCACUGUGAUGACAUGGGACCGAUCUAAUACGUGACUGGUAUCAAUGUGUGGCUGACAUUGUCGUUCUUCUACUAAAAGGUUCACAGCCGAAGGAUUUUUUUUCAGCUGCUAGGUAGUCUAGAGAAGGGGAGCCUUGGCGCAGUGGUAAAGCUGCUGCCUUGUGACCAUGAGGUCAUGGGUUCAAGUCCUGGAAACAGCCUCUUACAGAAAUGUAGGGAAAGGCUGCGUACUAUAGACCCAAAGUGGUCGGACCCUUCCCUGGACCCUGCGCAAGCGGGAGCUACAUGCACCAGGUUGCCCUUUGCUAGGUAGUCUAGAGUCUCCUGUUGACAAUCACAUGCAUUGCAUCCGAAAUAAGAAGGCAAUGACCUCUAAUUAUUAUGAUUAUUUUAGUAUUUUAUUUCUCCUUUCAGACUAAGCAUACAUGCAUGAUUACUCCUCUAGGGAAUUUUCUGCCCGUCAUUGUUUCGUACGCUUGGACAUUACAAGUACAGAUUGGAUUUAGCAUUCAGCAGUGGCUAAGCUUAUGUAGUAGGAUAAUUUUAUUUUUAUAUACUAAUUUAAUUGCUAGCCAUAUGAAAUUUAAUUAGUUUGAUGCAAGAAUUUCUAGGGUUUCUUAAUUCCUUUCACUACUGUAGGUGCUUCAUGAUUUGCCUCUUCUGUGGAAAUAAGUUUCAUGCGCAUCAAAGCGAGGUCAGAGAUGAAAACCCAUACUUUCUCAAGAAUAAUGUUAGUAUGUAAUUCACAGUUCUAGAACAUAAUUGUUCAUGAAAAGUGUAAUAUAUUCCAUGGGCCUCUGUUUUGAUUACAUAAUUUUUACAACAGUUAGAUGAGAGUAAAAUUCAACUUCCUAUCUUAUCUGCCAUAUCUAGCUCGGUAUAGCUAGCUUCCACCCUUUUGGUUAAUAUCUAUUUCCACUUCUCCAGUUAUUACAAUGCUCCUAAUUCUUUUGGUUGAUUUUGUUUCCUCCAUCAGCGCCUGAGGUUGUCAAUUCAAAGUACUACUAUGAAUAUUUCUUUUAGGAAUAUGAGUUACGCGUUAAUCAAUUGGUGCCUUCAAGUGUGCCUUUCAAAGAAAUCCAUAUAUUAACAAGAUCGAUGGAAAAUUGUAUAUUUGCAUUUGAUUUACAUAAUGAUGUGUAGACUUUUCCUUUGGGAAAUUGAGUCUUUUAUUAAUUAUUUGCACCGUCACACAACCACCAAAAUGUUCACUCCAUGCAAUUGCCUUAUCAUUCAUAUUUCUGCAUAAACAGACUGGUAUAUGUUUUGUUUUCUUAAAAUUCCUUAAAAGAAAUUAUUAUUGCUGCUGCUAUUGUUGUUCCGUUUUUGUUUUUAAAAAUUCACCCAUGCUGAGUAAAUAUGAAUUAUAAAUGCCACAAGUUUUCAUACUCCAAGUGAUCUCUUUAAUGUAUCUAUUUUCUCUUUCGUGCAUAUUCCCUUCAGAUAUGUAAUAGUAUAGCCCAUAAUCAAAUGAUAUAUUUCUACAAUUUUAAUAAAGGUAUGUUUGUUGUUCCCUCAAAUGGGUGAUAUAUUACAGUUUACAGGUUCCUCGUGGUAUUGGUGUUUGUUCAGCUGAAUACUUAACUUGAAUACACCCGUAGUUUACCUUCAUGUCUCAUGUGUACUCCUCCUUCGGCAUGGGAUGUAAAGCUCGCUGAUAUUUCUAUGAUUUGGCACAUAUGCUAUCAUUUAUUGUCUAUCUAAUGUGUUUGGUUUGAAAUAGCUGCAAGAAUAGUAACUGAAGUUCAGUUUCCAAACAUGCAUGUGUAAUUACUAUCAAACAAUUUUCUAUAAGGCUAAGAGCUUAGAUAUUAUUUCUUUAAACUUAUAUCUUCACUUUCCAGACGUAAGAAAUAACACUUAUGGUUAGAAUUAUACUACACGAUUGUUCUGGUGUUGAU
rnacentral:lncRNA from 1 species